rnacentral:rRNA from 1 species
AGUGAACGCUGGCGGUAGGCCUAACACAUGCAAGUCGAACGGCAGCACAGUAAGAGCUUGCUCUUACGGGUGGCGAGUGGCGGAAGGGUGAGGAAUACAUCGUAAUCUACUUUUUCGUGUGGGAUAACGUAGGUAAACUUACUCUAAUACCGCAUACGACCUACGGGUGAAAGCAGGGGAUCUUCGGACCUGGCGCGAUUGAAUGAGCCGCUGUCGGAGUAGCUAGUUGGCGGGGUAAAGGCCCACCAAGGCGGCGAUCCGUAGCUGGUCUGAGUGGAUGAUAGCCCACCUUGGAGCUGGGCCAGGCUCCAGACUCCUACGGGAGGCAGCAGUCGGGAAUAUUGGACAAUGGUCGCAAGCAUUAUCCAACCAUACCGAGUCGGUGGCGAAAACGUUCGGGUUGUAAAGCCCUUCUGUUGGGUAAGAACCGCAUCCGCUUAAUACCCAGCUGUUCUGACGGUACUCAAUGAAUAAGCACCGGCUAACUUCGUG